GGAUAACUCCCGGGAAACCGGUGCUAAUACCGAAUAUUUUGCGGCCUCUCCUGAGGCUGCACGGAAAGACGGUUUCGGCUGUCACUGCAGGAUGGGCCCGCGGCGCAUUAACUAGGUGGUGGGGUAAUGGCCCACCAAGGCGACGAUGCGUACCCGACCUGAUAGGGUGAUCGGCCACACUGGGACUGAUACACGGCCCAGACUCCUACGGGAGGCAGCAUUAGGGAAUCUUCCGCAAUGGACGAAAGUCUGACAGAGCAACGCCGCGUGAGUGACAAAGGUUUUCGGAUCGUAAAACUCUGUUGUGAGGGAAGAACAAGUACCAAGUAACUACUGGUACCUUGACGGUACCUCACCAAAAAGCCACGGCUAACUACGUGCCAGCAGCCGCGGUAAUACGUAGGUGGCAAGCGUUGUCCGGAAUUAUUGGGCGUAAAGCGCGCGCAGGCGGUUCCCUUAAAUCUGAUGUGAAAGCCCACGGCUCAACCGUGGAGGGUCAUUGGAAACUGGGGGACUUGAGUGCAGAAAAGGAAAGUGGAUUUCCAUGUGUAGCGGUGAAAUGCGUAGAGAUGUGGAGGAACACCAGUGGCGAAGGCGACUUUCUGGUCUGUAACUGACGCUGAGGCGCGAAAGCGUGGGGAGCAAACAGGGAUUAGAUACCCUGGUAGUCCACGCCGUAAACGAUGAGUGCUAAGUGUUAGGGGGUUUCCGCCCCUUAGUGCUGCAGCUAACGCAUUAAGCACUCCGCCUGGGGAGUACGGCCGCAAGGCUGAAACUCAAWGGAAUUGACGGGGGCCCGCACAAGCGGUUGGAGCAUGUGGGUUUAACUUCGAAGCAACGCGAAGAACCCUUACCAGGUCUUGACAUCCCGCUGACCGCCCAGGAGACUGGGGCUUUCCCUUUCGGGGACAGCGRUGACARGUGGUGCAUGGUUGUCGUCAGCUCGUGUCGUGAGAUGUUGGGUUAAGUCCCGCAACGAGCGCAACCCUUGAUCUUAGUUCCAGCAUUCAGUUGGCACUUUAAGGUGACUGCCGGUGACAACCGGAGGAAGUGGGGAUGACUCAAAUCACAAGCCCCUUAUGACCUGGGCUACACCCGUCUACAAUGGGCGGUACAAAGGGCUACCAACCCGCGAGGGGGAGCCAAUCCCAGAAAACCCGUU
rnacentral:rRNA from 1 species